CGGCGCUAUCGGUUGGGGCGAGCCGAGAGUAAAUAGACGCCGGAGCCCAAGAUGGCGGAGCCGCCCAGUCCGGGUCGUGGCGCGGCGCCCCCCGAGCAGGAGCUGCUUGGCGCCAGGACGGCCCCGGAUGCGAAAGGUUCCCGCGGAUCCCAGCCGGCCGCCAAGAAGGUGAAGGGAGCCGAGGAGCGGAGCUUGAAGGGCGCUAAGCGCGUCAACGGUGAAGGGGGCGGCGGUGGCGGGAGCGCCAAGCAGCCGCUGCCCGCGGUCGUGCCCAGCUACAGCGGCCCCGGGCCAUGGGGCUUCGCCGCGCUGCCCUCGGGCCCCUCGGCGGGCGCGGGGGGCUUUGCGUUCCCUUCCCCGCUGUCCCGGAAGCUGCUGCCGCCCGCGGUGCUGCUGCCGCCGUCCGCCUCCCCCUCCUCGUCCCACCCGCAGCACCAGCACCGCCACCACCGGCACCGCCUGGCGCUGGCGGCCGAGGCGGGAGGCGGCGGCAGCGGCGGCAGCGCCAAGCCCAAGAGACCCAAGGAGAAGCGGGACAAGGAGAGGAGGAAGCACGGGGCGCUGCCCGUUGUGGCGGCGGCGGGAGAUGGCGGCGGGGCCCUGAGCCGGGAGGAGAACGGGGAGGUGAAGCUGCUGUUCCCCAAAGAGAAGGCUGAGAAAGUGAAGGAUGCACUGACUCUUCUGCUGAGAGCUGCCAGCCUUUCAAAAGUGAUUCAGUAUUUGACUGUAGAUUAAAGAACAGGUUUGUGCUGUUAAUCCUGUGAAUAAUUUACUGUGCAGAGAGGAAAGGGAAAAAUGCAGUUAUGAUACAGGGAGAAAAGAAUGGCUGGGGGGCAGGCACGUAGAAUCCUGAGUACAGAGGAAAGCUAAGAAUGACAUUGAGGUGGGUGGGUGGAAUAGUCAGGACUUGUGCAUUGGGAGUGCUGAAGCUACAGACUGGAAAAAGAUACCAGAGGGACUGUGGUUGCAGCGUGUAAUGAGUGAACGUGGAAUGAAUUCGAAAUACUGAUAGGAGAAGAAAAUAGCAGGCUGGAGCAGUGUGGAGGUGAUUCUGGUUUUGGUUUGGGGUGAAAGAUUAUACUUAGGUGCUGUAGAAAAGGCCAGGAAGGUAGGAUAGAAGGAGAAAUGAAAAUUUUAGGCAGCCUACAGAGUGGAAUUGAACAGCAUGGGUAAAUUUAGAUGAUUUUGGGUAAUUAUGGAAAACUGAAAGGCUUGCACAUAGACCAUAUAUGAGGGGCAGGGGAUAAAAUAGGAAUAGGAAUAAAAUAUUCUCCUUCAGGUGUAGUGAGCUGAGU
rnacentral:lncRNA from 1 species